rnacentral:piRNA from 1 species
UGCCAGCUAGAAACGGAAUGUAAAUUACCA